rnacentral:rRNA from 1 species
GUAAGGAAUAUUGGUCAAUGGGCGCAAGCCUGAACCAGCCAUGCCGCGUGCAGGAAGACGGCCCUACGGGUUGUAAACUGCUUUUAUACGGGAAUAACCCCGGUUUCGUGAAACCGGCUGAAUGUACCGUAAGAAUAAGGAUCGGCUAACUCCGUGCCAGCAGCCGCGGUAAUACGGAGGAUCCAAGCGUUAUCCGGAUUUAUUGGGUUUAAAGGGUGCGUAGGCGGCCUGCUAAGUCAGGGGUGAAAGACGGUGGCUCAACCAUCGCAGUGCCUUUGAUACUGGCGGGCUUGAAUGUACAUGAGGUAGGCGGAAUGUGACAAGUAGCGGUGAAAUGCAUAGAUAUGUCACAGAACACCGAUUGCGAAGGCAGCUUACUAAGGUAUAAUUGACGCUGAGGCACGAAAGCGUGGGGAUCAAACAGGAUUAGAUACCCCUGUAGUCC